rnacentral:lncRNA from 1 species
AUUUGCCAUGUGUACCUCUUCUUUGGUGAAGUGUCUGUUCAAAUAUUUUGCCUGUUAAAAAAAAUUGGUUGGUUGUUUGCUCAAAAUUGAGUUUUGAGAAUCCUUUAUAUAUUCUGAAUACAAGUCUUUUAUCAGAUUGUGAUUUACAGUUUCAGCAAGUUCCCAGGUGCUGCUGAUACUGCUGUGGUUUGGGAAGUAGAAAUAGCUGCCCACAGGGCUUCUUAAACUUUAACAUCCAUAAAAACCACCUGGGGUGGGAUGGGACCCAGUAGAUCUGGGGCACACCUGAGAUUCGGCACUACCAACCAGCUCUAAGAAGAACUCUGAUGCUUCUGUGUUCACAGCUUUGGCAGAAAGGGCUUAGGGGAACCACAGAAGGAUUCCAAGGAAGAGUUACAUUUCAGCCAAGAUUGAAGGAUGAGUAUAUUUCUCCAGAAAGAUACAGGGUAAAGAAUAAUAGAAGGCGAGAGGGGAAGAAAAGAGAAGGAUAAUUUUGCAGAGGGCAUAACAUGACCCAUGCCAGGUCAAAUGAAAAAGGCAAAGACAUUGGGGAUGGAAGAUGACCUGUUACUGAGAGUGAUCAUAAGCCAGUUGCUUAAAGACCGGUGUGGAAAGGGCUUAAGAAGGAAGAGGGCCAGAGGGAAAUUACCAUCUGGAGACAAGAUGACACUGGGAACUUGGAGGAAAACGUUCAGGUACCGUAUGAGGAAGCAGAACACUGGUUGUAGGUUGUGUAUCAAUGGCUUUCUAUGAGUAAGUGACCUGAAAAUGUAUGUGACUAAGCACCAUAAUGUGGAUUUCUGGAAGCUGAAUGACUUAAAGAAAAAUCUGCUUAUUUCUAAGAAAACCAACAAGUGGUUUCUUUCAGUAAGUUAUUAAAUUUCUUUAAGGCAUGAAUGAUCUAUUAUGUAAGGAAAGUGUUUGAAUACAGGUAUUCUGUCCUUAAGUUUGGACAUUCCUGGAAACCAAACAGCCUAUAAUGCAAAGCUCUGCUGUGUGCAGAUCUGUCCUUCUUUCACUAGUCUCUUCUAUAUUUAUAAUGUCUCUAGUCAUAGUUUAUGUGAAUAAUAAAGGCUGUGGAGUCCCUUGGAAUUCUUAUUUAAUAUGCUGCCAUUUCCUUAAUUAUUAAAAGCUUUUACACCUUCAUAAGAGAUGCUUAGUUGCUAGAGUCUCUCCAUACACUAAUUCCCAGAAGAUGCUUAAGAAAUGAGUCCCAGGAAGGUGUCCAUUGCAGGAAUUCUGGAUAGGACUCUAAGCUUAUGGACAGAUGUUGAUGCAAACUGACUUGAGACAGCGCAACCCUUAAGGUACCUUUAGAAAAUAUUCGUGGCUGCAAAAAGUUCUUGGGGAGUUGCAGUUUAUCUAUUUCUCCACAACAUUAUUACUAGUUUAUAAUAAAUGUAAAUCUCAAACCAAAUUAUUAAACAAACACAGUUUACUAAGUGUGAACAAAACUGUAUGCACAAUAUCUUCUGAAAAUUUGAUAACAUUCCCACUCUCAGUCUUUUCAAGUGCCCUGAAGACCACCUUGCUUAAAAGGUUUACUUGAAACAAUUGUAACAAUAAUCUGGAGGCAAGAUUUGGCUAAUAUUGUAUCUGGCAUCAGGAAAACAGAAUUCUCCACUGCACCGUCUGGACCCCAGUGCAAGUAAGAUCUAAUUCUCAAGCUUUGUGUCCAAAGAUCCUUUCAUGCAAGGGUGGGAGGUAUCUCUAAACCUUCAGACAACAUAUCUUGAAUACCACUACUGUCACCAAAAAGGACCUAUUUGUAAUAUUCAUUAUGCUUUUACACAAGCAUGAUUUUCACAAAUGAAGCCCCAUUUCCUAUGUGCAUUAUCUUAAUUGGCAAAAAUCUAGCACUGACAAGAAAAAAAGAUAGCUGAAGUCCUUGCAGUACAUUUCUCUGAAGUGAGGACUGUCUGAUGUCUACUAGGUGAUCAUCCCUGGAAAGUGAAUUAUCAAUUAAGGGUAUAACUUAAACUAAAUAACACAUACAUAAUAUCACACAUCAAUGUUGAUGUACUUUAAAGUAAAUGUAAGGUAUGCAAGUCACUAUUCACAAUAGCAGAAACAUGGAAUAAACUCAGGUGCCCAUCAACAGUGACUUGGAUAAGGAAAAUAUGUUACAUAUGCACCAUGGAAUACUACACAGUUAUAAAAAGAAUGAAAUCAUGUUUUUUGCAGCAACAUGAAUGCAGCUGGAGGAAAUUAUCCUAAGUGAACUAACACAAAAACAGAAAAACAAAUACAUGUUCUCACUUAUAAGGGAUCUAAGCAUGGGGUACAUGUGGACACAAAGAUGGGAACAAGACACUGGACAGUACCAGAGGAGUGAGUAAGGGGAGGAAUUAAAAAAAAUACUUGUUGGAUAUUAUACUUACUAACUUGGUGACAGAUUCAUUCAUACUCCAAAUCCAAGCGUCAAGCAAUAUACCUUUGUUAAAAAUCUGUACAUGUACCCGCAAUUCUAAAAUAAAAGUUAAAAAAGAAUAAAAAUUCUUAAAAAUUAAAAUGUGCAUUUGUUAUUCUGAAAUUUUCAGUGAUUAUAAAUGUUUAUGGUUUAAAAAGUUCAGGCUCAGUCCAGGCGUGGUGGCUCAUACCUGUAAUCCCAGCACUUUGGAAGGCCGAGGCAGGCCAAUUAUGUUAGCUCAGGAGUUCCAGACCAGCCUUGGCAACAUGGCAAAACGUUUCUACAAAACAUACAAAAAAUUAGCAGGAUGUGGUGGUGUGUGCCUGUAGUCCCAAUUACUUGGGGUGUUGAGGUGGGAAGAUUGCUUGAGCCCAGGAGUCUGAGGUUGCAGUGAGCUGAGAUUGCACUACUACACUGCAGCAUGGGUGACAAAGUGAGACCCUGUCUCAAAAAAAAAAAAAAAAAAAAAAAAAAAAAAAAAAUCAAUCUCAGGGAUAUUGCAGGAUUCAAGACUAGUAUUUUAGCCAUAUUGAGAUUUAAGUAAUUUUGCAUCAUAAAGAGAAAACAAAGACAACUGUGGAGUAGUAGCUCCAGA